rnacentral:rRNA from 1 species
UCCAGGGGGGGCAAGCGUUGUUCGGAAUUACUGGGCGUAAAGGGCUCGUAGGCGGCCAACUAAGUCACACGUGAAAUCCCCAGGCUUAACCUGGGAACUGCGUGUGAUACUGGAUGGCUUGAAUUCGGGAGAGGGAUGCAGAAUUCCAGGUGUAGCGGUGAAAUGCGUAGAUAUCUGGAGGAAUACCGGUGGCGAAGGCGGCAUCCUGGACCGACAUUGACGCUGAGGAGCGAAAGCUAGGGGAGCAAACGGG